UACGAAGGGGGCUAGCGUUGCUCGGAAUCACUGGGCGUAAAGCGCACGUAGGCGGGCUCUUAAGUCGGUGGUGAAAUCCUGGAGCUCAACUCCAGAACUGCCUCCGAUACUGAGAGUCUUCGAGUUCGGGAGAGGUGAGUGGAACUGCGAGUGUAGAGGUGAAAUUCGUAGAUAUGUGGAGGAACACCUGUGGCGAAGGCGCCUUGCUGGCCGAUUUCUGACGCUGAGGCGCGAAAGCGUGGGGAGCAAACAGG
rnacentral:rRNA from 1 species